ensembl:miRNA Gm27740 predicted gene, 27740
AAAGGCAGGGAGGGAUAAAGACCAGUCACUAUGGAAACUCAUCUUUAUCUCUCCCCAG